rnacentral:rRNA from 1 species
CCUACGGGAGGCUGCAGUAGGGAAUAUUGCUCAAUGGGGGAAACCCUGAAGCAGCAACGCCGCGUGGAGGAUGAAGGUUCUCGGAUUGUUAACUCCUUUUGUUAGAGAAGUUAAUGACGGUAUCUAACGAAUAAGCACCGUCUAACUCCGUGCCAGCAGCCGCGGUAAUACGGAGGGUGCAAGCGUUAUUCGGAAUCACUGGGCGUAAAGAGCGCGUAGGCGGGUUAUCAAGUCAGAUGGGAAAUUCUAUGGCUUAACCAUAGAACUGCAUGUGAAACUGUGAUUCUAGAGUAAGGGAGAGGUAGGUGGAAUUCUUGGUGUAGGGGUAAAAUCCGUAGAGAUCAAGAGGAAUACUCAUUGCGAAGGCGACCUGCUAGAGCAUAGCUGACGCUGAUGCGCGAAAGCGUGGGGAGCAAACAGGAUUAGAUACCCCGGGUAGUC